rnacentral:sRNA from 1 species
UAAUAUCGGAUUUGUGGUGAUUUAUGAUAUCUAUCAUUAAGGUUAGUAUUAUUUUACAAUUAUAGAUGCUAUUUGAACAAUAAAGAGAUUAUUUAUAUCUUUUUAGCAGUGUUAUAGUACAGGUUAUAUUUUAUCGUACAAUAUUUAUGUAAAUUGUUUUAUACUAUAUUUUUAAAUAUUUUUUUUGGCGAUAUUAUCAAUAUUUUGCUGUUCUUAAUAAA